AGAGACAGCAGCAGCCACGGUAAUACAGAGGAUGCAAGCGUUAUCCGGAAUGAUUGGGCGUAAAGAGUGCGUAGGUGGUCUACUAAGCGCGAGGUGAAAGGCAAUGGCUCAACCAUUGUUAGCCUUGCGAACUGGCAGACUUGAGUGCAAGAGAGGAAAGCGGAAUUCCUAGUGUAGCGGUGAAAUGCGCGGAUAUUAGGAGGAACACCGGCGGCGAAGGCGGCUUUCUGGAUUGUAACAGACACUGAGGCACGAAAGCGUGGGUAGCAAACAGGAUUAGAUACCCGGGUAGUCCCUGUCUCUUAUACA
rnacentral:rRNA from 1 species